rnacentral:rRNA from 1 species
AGUGAACGCUGGCGGUAGGCCUAACACAUGCAAGUCGAACGGCAGCACAGUAAGAGCUUGCUCUUACGGGUGGCGAGUGGCGGACGGGUGCGGAAUACAUCGGAAUCUACUUUUUCUUGGGGGAUAACGUAGGCAAACUUACGCUAAUACCGCAUACGACCUACGGGUGAAAGCAGCGGAUCUUCGGACCUUGCGCGAUUGAAUGAGCCGAUGUCGGAUUAGCUAGUUGGCGGGGUAAAGGCCCACCAAGGCGACGAUCCGUAGCUGGUCUGAGAGGAUGAUCAGCCACACUGGAACUGAGACACGGUCCAGACUCCUACGGGAGGCAGCAGUGGGGAAUAUUGGACAAUGGGCGCAAGCCUGAUCCAGCCAUACCGCGUGGGUGAAGAAGGCCUUCGGGUUGUAAAGCCCUUUUGUUGGGAAAGAAAAGCAGCAGGUUAAUACCCCGCUGUUCUGACGGUACCCAAAGAAUAAGCACCGGCUAACUUCGUG